GAUGAACGCUGGCGGCGUGCCUAAUACAUGCAAGUCGAGCGAACAGACGAGGAGCUUGCUCCUCUGACGUUAGCGGCGGACGGGUGAGUAACACGUGGAUAACCUACCUAUAAGACUGGGAUAACUUCGGGAAACCGGAGCUAAUACCGGAUAAUAUAUUGAACCGCAUGGUUCAAUAGUGAAAGACGGUUUUGCUGUCACUUAUAGAUGGAUCCGCGCCGCAUUAGCUAGUUGGUAAGGUAACGGCUUACCAAGGCAACGAUGCGUAGCCGACCUGAGAGGGUGAUCGCCCACACUGGAACGGAGACACGGUCCAGACUCCUACGGGAGGCAGCAGUAGGGAAUCUUCCGCAAUGGGCGAAAGCCUGACGGAGCAACGCCGCGUGAGAGAUGAAGGUCUUCGGAUCGUAAAACUCUGUUAUUAGGGAAAAACAAAUGUGUAAGUAACUACGCACGUCUUGACGGUACCUAAUCAGAAAGCCACGGCUAACUACGUG
rnacentral:rRNA from 1 species